AGAGAGGUGGCCGAGCGGUCGAAGGCGCACGCCUGGAAAGCGUGUAAACAUCAAAAGUGUUUCGAGGGUUCGAAUCCCUUCCUCUCUG
rnacentral:tRNA from 1 species